UACGGAGGGUGCAAGCGUUGCUCGGAUUUACUGGGCGUAAAGCGUGUGUAGGUGGUUGUACAAGUCGGUUGUGAAAUCCCCGGGCUCAACCUGGGAACUGCUUCCGAGACUGUGCGACUCGAGAUCGGUAGAGGGCGGUGGAAUUUCCGGUGUAGCGGUGAAAUGCGUAGAUAUCGGAAGGAACACCAAUGGCGAAGGCAGCCGCCUGGGCCUGAUCUGACACUGAGACACGAAAGCGUGGGGAUCAAACAGG
rnacentral:rRNA from 1 species